UCAGCAAGCCUGUCUAACUGCA
rnacentral:misc_RNA from 1 species